rnacentral:tRNA from 5 species
GCGGAUGUAGCUCAGCUGGCUAGAGCACCACCUUGCCAAGGUGGGGGUCGCGAGUUCGAAUCUCGUCAUCCGCU